rnacentral:lncRNA from 1 species
UUUAGCUCUUCCGUCCACAAGGAUUCCACCAAAGUUAGUUGGUUUAUCAGGGCCUCUUUUUCAUCCUUCAUAUGAGACACCUGAAAGUUAUUUUUUAAUUAUUGUUAUUGUAGUAAAACAUAUAUAUAUAUUUCACAGAACGUACGUACCUUUUUAACCAAUUUUAAGUGUAUGGUUCAGCAGCAUGAAGUACAUUCACAUUGUUUAGAUCCACUGCCACUCUCCAGCUCCAGAACUUUUUCUAUCACCCAAACAGAAACUCUACAAGCAUACAUCAAUAACCCUAUUCCCCUCUUCCCCAAACCCCCCGUCACCUCUACUCCACUCUCUGUCUCUACGAACUCACCUGUUCCAGGAACCUCACAGAAGUGGAUCAUACAGCAUUUGUCCUUUUGUGUCUGGCUUAUUUCAUUUCCAAUAAUGUCUUCAAGCUUCAUUAAAAUCACUCUUUAAAUCCCAGGCAUGUUUUCAUACGAAUAAGCUGAUUUCUCAUUUAACUAAAACAUUUACUAAAUAAACACAUCAAUGAGAAAGAAUGCUUGAAGUCACACAGUAACUUUUACUUUUUGCCUUUUAAUAAAAAGUAAAGGCAAAGAUAUGGAAUCAACCUAAGUAUUCAUCAACAGAUGAAUAAAGAAAAAGUGGCAUAUAUACCCAGUGAAGUACAUUCAGCCUUAUAAAAAAGGAAAUUUUGUCAUUUGUGACAACGUGGAUGAACCUGGAGGACAUGCUGUCACACGGCAAUAAGCCAGCACAGAAUGACCAAUAUUGCAUGAUCUCACUAUACAUGGACUCUAAAAUCAUCAAACUCAUAGAAGCAGGGAGUCAAAUUGUGGUCACCAGAGGCUGAGGGGUUGGAGAGGGAUUAGGGAGAUGUUGAUCAAAAGACACCAAAUUUCAGCUGGACCAGAGGAUUAAGUUCAAGAGAUCUAUGGUACAUCGUGGUGACUACAGUUAAUAACAAUAUAUUAUGUACUUGAAAAUUGCUAAGUGCAGAUUUUAAGUGUUCUCACCACAAAAAAAAUAAGUAUAUGUGAUCAUGCAUAUGUUAAAUAGCUUGAUUUAGCCAUCCACGAUGUAUACCUAUUUUAAAACAUCAUGUAGUCCACUAUAAAUAUAUACAAUUUUUACUGACCAAUUAAAAAUAAAGAGGCCAGGUGCAGUGGCUCAUGCCUGUAAUCCCAGCACUUUGGGAGGCUGAGGUGGGCGGAUCACCUGAGGUCAGGAGUUUGAGACUAGCCUGCCCAACAUGGUGAAACCCUGUCUCUACUAAAAAUACAAAAAUUAGCCAGAUGUGGUGGCGGGCACUUGUAAUCCCAGCUACUCGGGAGGCUGAGGCAGGAGAAUCACUUGAACCCAGGAGGCGGAGGUUGCAGUAAGCCGAGAUCGUGCCAUUGCACUCCAGCCUGGGAGACAGAGCAAGACUCUGUCUCAAAAAAAAAAAAAAAAUAGAAAAGAAAAAGAAAAAAUAAAAAUAAAAAAUUGAGAGAAAAAGCAUAGGUACUAUGUUAACAGUCAAAAAUGGAGCCCAGAUGCGGUGGUUCAGGCCAGGCGCAGUGGACACUUGUAAUCCCAGCACUUUGGGAGGCUGAGGCGGGUGGAUCACUUGAGGUCAGGAGUUCAAGACCACCCUGGCCAACAUGGUGAAACCCCGUCUUUACUAAAAAUACAAACAUUAGCUGGGCAUGGUGGCGGGUGCCUGUAAUCCCAGCUACCCGGGAGGCUGAGGCAGGAGGAUCGCUUGAACCUGGGAGGUGGAGGUUGCAGUGAGCCAAGAUCGUGCCAUUGCACUCCAGCCUGGGCAACAAGAGUGAAACUCCAUCUCAAAGAAAACAAAAAUAGAGAUUACAUCAACAUUUAUUUAUUUAAGGCACUAAACAAUGCUCUUAUGAAAUGCACUAUCCCUAAUAACAUGUACAAAACAAGGAACUGCUGAAUCAAGACACUUCUUUAAGGAUGUCAUAUUCUAGAAACAUACCUUUUGAAGCACAGCAUUAGUCUCUUCUAUGAAAUAAUAGCAUAUUUUCUGGGCUAUGUCCAAACUUGUCUUCUCAUUCGUAUCUGAAAUUACCUCCCCAAGAAGUACUUUUUUCCAGCAUGUACUAGAACCAAAAUGUUCCAUGACACAAUUUUAGCAGGCUCUCAAAAAACAGAUUUUUUUGUUUCAGUGCAACACAUAAACUCCUUCUCCUAUUUCUCCAGGAGCAUAAUACAACUCAUUCCAUAAGCAGAUUCCCCAAACCUCCAUGCCACUUGCAGCUCCCAUGUGGAAGCCGACCAGGUAAUGAGAGAGGAGGAGGAGGAGCUGAGAAUAAAAGCACGGGGGGUGGGUACUCUCUGCAGGCAAGGGCUGAAUGUUAUUAUCAUCACAAACCUGUGUCUGACCCAUGAGUGAAUGAAGUCCCGUUCCCGGCCAUGGGAACGAAGCCAGUGACAGAACAGGAGGGCGAGUCCACAGCCGAAAGGCAGAGGACUAAGGAGCAAAGGCAGAAGUUUUCCUUCAAGUGACCGUCUGUCCAAAAUAGUAGCAAACUGGGCACAAUUCACAAAGCCAAAUGCUCCAUGUCUGGAAGGAGGAAUCUACAGCAAGCCUCUAUCCCCAUGCAGGUCAUUCCAGUGCUCUACUACAAAGGUUCGCAGGAAACGGGGCUCAGUCAGCAGGCAGGGCCCACUCUGGAAGGUCUGCUGUGGCAGGUGCAAGGGAGCCACAGCAGGAUGCGGAGCAGAGGUGGCAGCGCCAGACCUAGACACUAGAAAGAAGAACUACCGGGAGAAAGACGACGGAGGACCGGAUUCUGAACACCGAGAAUCUGGAAGUGGAAGUGGCUUCGAAGGGGAGGAAAGAUGGCUGCUGUGGAAGUAAACAGGAGCCCAUUAGAUUCAGAACAGCUGGCAAGACACAGCCCGGAAUAGUCUCAGAAGGCUUCAGUUUCAGAGAUGACAGGUGAAAUGAGUUCUCAGUAAAGAAAAAGGAAAUGACUGUGUGUCAGGCAUGGUGUUCAUGAAUAACCAUUACCUAAUUUAAUCUUCACAGUUACCUAGCAAAGAAAGCACGAUAAUCCGCAUGCUAGACUCAAAGAAACACUCAGCAAAGUUGAAGCACUCACCCUGAGUGACAGAGCUAGUGAGGCAGAAAGAACUGAAACGCCCCAGCCAGAGCCCCACACGUGCUUUCUCCACACCCACUCAGUAAGCGGUAACUCAAAUGCAAGAAAAGAGGCCUAAGGAAGACCUCUGGGAAACAGCCAGUUGUUGUAUUUAAUUUUAGGCUGAAGUGUCCGAAAAGGACUCAUACCUUGUUGCCAGAAGGAUUUAAAGAAGCUAACAUAAGUACACACAAAAUAAAAGGUAAGAUGAAUGAAGGCAGAAAACAAGACAAAGGAAGACAAAAGGAGAAAAGACAAGACACUGCAGGAAUGGGCCAGUGCGAAACCGCAUGUCCCAACACUAGGUACGUUUGCAUGCACCUCAGAUUUGCCUCUCAGUUUUCCAGUGAACAAGGAAAAGAAGGAAACAUCGGUUAAAGAAUUCAUAGUAUCUGUAAGAUAAAAACACUCCAUUUGCUAAGAAUAAAAACAAAAACUAUGUCUAGUGUUGAGACCAGAGAGAAAUUUUACUCCAAAAGUUCCUAGAGAAAAAGAAGGAAGCAACAUCAUCUCAUCCAAAAGAAGAACAGGCGUCACUGAAGGGGCACCGACUGCUCCCAGGCACUGUGCCUCAUCUCAGUCAGUCCUCCCAACUGUUCAAGGACAGCCUGCACCAUCUUCAAGAGGUUCUCCCUGGAUAUCUAGCAGCAGAAGGUUGAAGGCUGCUCUCCCUGCCAGGGACUCAGGCUGAAGCUGCCCCUACACUGGGUACAGCACAGCUGGAUGUGUCGACAGGGGGCUGCAGGGAGCAGGACUGACAGCAGGCAGGAACAUGAGGGAGCCUGGCCAGGAUGCACACCCACACCGGGGGCUCCCCGACCUGCCUCCCCCAUGGAAAAGUCCAGCUCUUCAGCCAGGUUUCUGGAUCUCCCCCAGGGCAGGACCGACGUUAGGGACUCUAGCUCUACUUGUCCUGGGCAAAACCUACCUACUCAGAGACUUUCCUCUGAACAGUGCCAAUGCCCACACUUUUUAAAGGAUUUCAGGUCACCAGAAGGAAAAUAUGAGUAGAAACAAAAAGAUUAUCAAAACUAUGUAUGCUGAGUCUAAAACCAGAAUUCCAAAACGGUUAAAACUUAGAAAUGAAACAUUCGCUACAUGGGCAAGUUACAUAAUGAGAAAGCAACUCCAAUGUAUGACAUCCCUUUUUCCUCCCUGGCUGGGUAUCUGAAUGCAAGCCAAAAACAAACAAACCAACCCUCCAAAGUUAUAUCUAGCCUGUUGCUACAGCUUAAGACCAACACAUGUGAAACUUACAAUUUCUCAGCUUCCAGACAUAACAACUUAAGGGCUGUGAGUAGCCUCCAAGAUGGUCCAUCCCAUCCAAAUGUCAAAUUUCUGAAGUAGAAAAACAAAUAAUGACAAAUCCAUCAUUUCAGUAUUUCAUGACCUCAUAGCAAAUGACUGAAGAGCCAAACACCUUUUUAAAGAGGUUGCUAAAUGUCAUGUAACCUGCAACCUCGGCCAAAGGACAAGAGAAAAUCAGUCUGCAAAUACUUAAGAAGAAAGCCUAAGUAACAGGAAAUUCUCUCCCCAUUUUUUUUCUAAAGAGUAAACAGCUGGCCGGGCGCAGUGCCUCACGCCUGUAAUCCCAGCACUUUAGGAGGCCAAGGCAGGUGGAUCACGAGGUCAGGAGAUCGAGACCAUCCUGGCUAACACGGUGAAACCCCAUCUCUACUAAAAAUACAAAAAAUUAGCUGGGCGUGGUCGCAGGCACUUGUAGUUCCAGCUACUUGGGUGGCUGAGGCAGGAGAAUGGCGUGAACCCGGGAGGCAGAGCUUGCAGUGAGCUGAGAUUGCGCCACUGCACUCCAGCCUGGGCGACAGAGCAAGACUCCUUCUCAAAAAAAAAAAAAAAAAAAAAAAAAAAAAAAGAGCUUAACCAUGGAUGAGGGGCCGGAGGCAGGGCCCAUGCACAGGAGUUCCCAGUAAGAGAAACGCUUAAGAACUGGAACUACCCUGGGCAUCCCACUGAUGGCAGCCACCACUGCCAGGCUGCUCUCACACCAUGGCGGGAUCAUUUCAAACUUCAUUUCAUCCAGAAAAGAAAAUCUGAAAGGGAGAGCCUUGAACCCUGUUUAGCCACUUGGCAUGGAAUCACCUCGCUACCCACCUACCCCAAGAGCCUGCACCAUGUUGCCAGGUGCGUGGGCUCUCCUGAGGCCCAGCCUGGCCUUUCCACAUGACCACAAGGGAGACAGACUCACCCUGGGCCACCCAUCAACACAUCCAAGCUCUCUUUUGGUACCAUAAUUUAAUAUUUCUAGCUUGUAUCUUAUGUCCCUAAAGAAGUUUCUUUCAAGUGUCUUAUACUCCUUUUGUCCUCCACAACAUCAAGCGCAGUUUUACUGCACAUAGUAAGUGCUCAAUACCUACCCGUCAGCUGAUACAGGGUCAGGAGGGGUCUCACCCCCAUGGAAAAUUUAACCCCAGGUUUUCCAUGAAAAUUUCCUAAAGGAAUAAUUUUAAGAGGGAAAGAGAAACACUUACUCUAUAUAGCCAUGAUCCUUUAAAAUAGAAAUC